rnacentral:rRNA from 1 species
GACGAACGCUGGCGGCGUGCUUAACACAUGCAAGUCGAGCGGUAAGGCCCUUUCGGGGGUACACGAGCGGCGAACGGGUGAGUAACACGUGGGUGACCUGCCCUCAGCUCUGGGAUAAGCCUGGGAAACCGGGUCUAAUACUGGAUAUGACUCCAUGACGCAUGUUGUGGGGUGGAAAGCCUUGUGCGGCUGAGGAUGGGCCCGCGGCCUAUCAGCUUGUUGGUGGGGUGANGGCCUACCAAGGCGACGACGGGUAGCCGGCCUGAGAGGGCGACCGGCCACACGUGGGACUGAGACACGGCCCAGACUCCUACGGGAGGCAGCAGGUGGGGAAUCUUGCGCAAGUGGGCGAAAGCCUGACGCAGCGACGCCGCGUGAGGGAUGACGGCCUGGU